rnacentral:rRNA from 1 species
UACGUAGGUGGCAAGCGUUGUCCGGAAUUAUUGGGCGUAAAGCGCGCGCAGGCGGUCCUUUAAGUCUGAUGUGAAAGCCCACGGCUCAACCGUGGAGGGUCAUUGGAAACUGGGGGACUUGAGUACAGAAGAGGAAAGCGGAAUUCCACGUGUAGCGGUGAAAUGCGUAGAUAUCGUGAGGAAGACCAGUUGCGAAGGCGGAUCUCUGGGCAGUUCCUGACACUGAGGCACGAAGGCCAGGGGAGCAAACGGG